UGAGUCUACAUAUGGGAAGGUGCUCGAACCCUCUCUCAUUUUCUUCCGUUGCUUUUCCCUUUCGCCUGCUCUCUGUUUCUCUCUGCUUUUCUCCCUGUUCAAUCUUCGUGUUUCCUUGCUUAACUCUCUUCCAUUUUCUUCCGUCGCUUUUCCCUUUCUCUUCCUCUCUGUUUCCGUGCUUUUCUCCCUGCGUCAAUCCUUCGUGUUUCCCUGCUUCUCUCUCUGCGUCGAUCGUGUGUCGUAUGAAGAGUUUCUUUUCCGGGUGAUUGCACUGUUUCAGGAAAAUUGGUGUGCGAAUUUUAGGGUUUUUGUGUACAACCUUGCAAACCCCUUCUGAUUAAGUGGUUUCGUGCUAUCUUGAACUCCAAGUGGAAAGCCCAGGGAGCAGAAAAUGGACAAUCACAAUUAUUAUUGUAGGUGGAUCGGAUUUGAAGUAUUUUUUAGGGUGGGUAAAAAAGUUGAGCGGAGUUGGGAAAAUUCCUAAGUGGUUAAAGAAGAGUAGAAGAAACGUUCUGUUUAUUCCUCCAGAAAAGAUUAAGAAAGUUGGUGGUCACAAAUCAACUGACUCAACUUUAUAUCAACAUUGGAGCAUGCCUUACAAGUUUAUGCAGCUAUGCAGAGGGAUACGUAGUGGAACUUGGAUUUCAAAGAUCACAGUGAACAGGGUGACAGGUGUAUUUCCUCCUUUUUUACCAUUUUAAAACUUAUAUUAUUGAUAAAUUAAUUUGAAUCAUGUGGCAUGAACUUAAAGCUCUGUUUGGGAAAGUGGGCUCUUUACCCCAAAGAUGCUUGCUUUUGGUAAUAUUUGGAAUUGUGCUUCUAAGCUGUUUUUCAAGCUUUUGGCCAUACUAAAUGGAGCUAAGUCGAACAGCUCUUCAGUUGCAUUGUAGUUGCUUUCCUAAAUUGAUUGUUCAUUUGUUGCAAAAAUUUUAAGGGCGAAAAUUAUGUUUCAAAUUGGAUUUAGAUAUGAGUAUUACACAUUCAACGUGUUGAAUUCAUCUUUGUUUUGGUGUUUGUGGUUUUGAAUGUCAUUUAGUGCAGUAUAGCUUUAACUUAAAUGUGGUUCUAUAUAUCUCAAGUACUCAUUUGGAUUUUGAGCAGUAGGAGAGAGUUUAGCACGUAUUUGAGGAAAUGCGAAGAACUUUUUUUGAAAUGGUUAGAGUUUGAGAUUCUCAGAAGGAAGCUCCUAUGAGUUUUUGGUUUUUUGUGUUGAUUUGAACAAAUUCGGUUUUUAUAUUUAUUAAUUUUUGUUGUGUGAGUAGUAUUUAUUGGGCUUGAUGUUUUUUUGAAACACCAGGUGUUUUGGAGACGUUUGAAAUCAUAAGAAGACUCGAAGAUUUCAGCCAGGUUUGAAUCAAAUCACCAAAUGGAUUCUUCUUCCAGGUUAUGAUUAAAUGUUCCCAACUUUUUUAGUUGUAUAAAGACUUGGGUAGAUAGGAAUUUGAUUUUAGUCAUGUGUUUCACUAAUUCUUUGGUAAUAGAUAAAUCUUUAUGAACAGUCUCCUGCUUCUAUCAAUACCCAUGGUAAGUUCUUAUAAUUUACUUUUAACGGUAAGGUCAUUUGUGACCAAAUAUUCUUUUUCAACUUAUGCUUCAUUUAUUCUUCUUUUGCAGCCUAUUUUUUCACACAUUUAGUCUUCAGUAGAUGGGCUAAGCAAUUUCCACGUGGCAUUGUAUCAAAUUAUCAUUGAUCGUAGGUUUUCGUGGUGAGAUGGAAUAAAUUGGUGAAACGUAGAGUGAUUUAUUUGCAGAAAGGUUUGACCUUUGAAUUGGAACUAUAGUGUUCGUUCCUAUUGCUACAUUGGCAGCUUUUGGCUCAGAAAUGUUCACAGUUGUCUUCAUCUGAAACGAGUCAAUCAACUGUAUACCAUCACCGUCAAACAUUGAGAACUUCAGCAUGUACUACAAAUCUCGAUCAAAGCUAAAUUAACCUCUCAUAUGGUUUUUGCCAAUUGUCAUUUUUGAAGGCUAUGACAGUUUAUGCCAUCAUCCAGUGUUACUAUUUGGGGAAGAUUGCUGAUCAAAAUAAUAGAAGCAUGUACAUCAUCACAAAUAAAACAAAAAAAUUGGGAAGCGACAGUCAAUAUAACUUUCAGGUACAAAUUAUUAUGUGUAUAAAUACAAUUGUAAAUAUUACACCUAAUAUGAAUGCACAUAUAUUUUAUACAUUUUUUAAACACGCGGCAACGCGCGGGCACUACACUAGUAUAUACUAAAAGAGAAAAACAACUCGAACACUGUUCUUUUUACAGUGUUUUUCCGUUUUUGCCCUUUUGUGUUUCUUUAUCUAAUGUUCAUUCUACAAUGUGAUUCCAUUUUACCCCUGUUUUAGUUAUUUGGUCUUUUAUUUGAUCUCUGAUUGGAAUUGGAGGAGUUCUAGAGACUUCUUUCCGUCUUUCACCCUGCUCCGCUUGCUCAGUUCCAUAGAUUCCAAUCUUUAACGUCAAACGAAAAUCUUAAAUCCCUAAACUCGCUCACUUGCCCCUUCUCCCUCGAACACACUUCCCGCAACCACUUAUGGGUAAACACGGUUCCCACAACUUCCUUUGGUGCGUCUUCUACGACUCCGACAUUAACGACCUUGAUAUCUCCUUUCCCUGCUGGACCAUACGAUCAACGCUUCUCUUUGUUCGAUGUGAAGACACCCACCAACCUUUGAUCAAUCAUGGAGCUGGAUUUUGAUUUCGUUUAUGAAGUUGGAUUCUUAUUUGGGCUUUAUUAUAGUUUAGGUUAUGAGCAAUUUUUUUUUAUGCAAAGAAAUUAUAUUGUAUGAGAUUUGCACCAUGAGAGGUCUCAUGAUGUAAAAAUAUUAAAUAUAAUGUUGUAAAAGAAAACGAUGAUUGCAGUUUUAGUGUAGACUCUCCUUUUAAGUUGUUCAA